AUGGCUUCGCUCCCCAAGGACAACACAAUGGAACUGUGGAUGCUUGGGGGUGGAUUCGACAAGGACCUUGAAGAGACUCUGAAGGAGGCCGUAGGCGGAUCAUUGCUGAGGGAGUGCGGUGGCGAGCCCCUCCUUAUCUGGAAGGUAGGGCGCAUCGAUCUGGAAUACAAGAUUUUCUGGUGGGACUUCAAUGUGGGGAAGUCGGUGAUGACAACGAUCCUAGGUGGGCGGACGUUGUUUAUUGGCUACGACGAUUUUGUCGCGUGCCUUGGUCCAGAUGUUCCAGGGAUCCGUGCCGACUGUGUGUAUGGAUCAUUGUCCUGGAGUGGGGGAUGGAGCGAGUAUUCUCUUAUCGACGGGACCUGUAAAUGCUUCCCUGCACAGUAUCCAAGUGAACCAGGGGUUGGUUUCGGGAGGCCGCAGGUUUGGGUGCUUCCAAGCUUGUUCUGCGACUACUGA
rnacentral:rRNA from 1 species